GCCUGUCAAAAGGUACUUGGUCUGGACCAGACUCUCUACCAGGCUGGCUUCAAAGCCCAUCUGGAGCACCGUCUGCACCACUGGGGAGAGCAUGACUGACGACGCUGCCAAACCGCCGACCACGUCUGGGAGAUGAGAGAAAGCAGACAGCGCGGACGAGGGGACGUGCAGCAACAGCAGCAGGAGGAGCGGCGGCGGCGGCGACUGUGGCUCAAAGCCCGGAUGGAGCAGGCAGCCAUUGGGGAAGUGAAGUGUACUGGACUUCAACGUAACAGGGCUCUCUCUGGGAGUAAAAAGCGAGCAGGAAAGACAUUCAUGUUCCAGGAGCUCCAUUGUGUGACUCAUUGCAGUAAGUUGAAAACUCUCAGAAGGACUUUUUUUUUUUUUUUUUUUUUUUGUGGAAGGGGUGUUCCGGCUUACUGGACGCGUGCAAGUUGAGGAAAGGCGCACAGCGGAAAAGGAGCAGCACAGCUGAGCUACUAGCAACGCGCUAAGUGGAGCUCGGCAGCCGGGGGAACUCGCUUUGCACACCACGGAGCUUGAAAUCCAGUCAGCGGGCCGGGCUCUGUGCGAAUCCAGGGACUUGCUUCAUGAAUUAUGUCUACCACAAGCAUUGACCCUCAGUUGAAAGGAUCUCCACAUGGCUAACAUGGAUCCUCCCCCUAAAGAUAGAGAAGACCGAUCAAAGGGACAAGCAUCUAAAGUGCAAAAUGGUUCACUGCAUCAGAAGGAGACAGUCCAUGACAAUGACUUUGAGCCGUACCUCACUGGUCAAUCAACUCAGAACAACAGCUACCAGUCCAUCACCGACCCUUACCUGUCCAGUUACUACGCUCCCUCCAUCGGCUUUCCAUACCCCCUGAGCGAGGCUCCUUGGUCCACAGGCGGCGACCCUCCAAUUCCAUACCUCACCCCCUACGGACCCUUGAGCAAUGGAGACCAUCAUUUCAUGCCGGACACUGUGUUCGGGCAGCCGGGCGGCCUGGGAAGCAGCAUUUACCCCCACAGGUUUAAUUUUUUCCCCGAAAACCCCGCUUUCUCUGCUUGGGGGACAAGUGGCUCCCAGGGCCAGCAGACUCAAAGUUCAGCCUACGGUGGCAGCUACAGCUACCCGCCCAGCUCUCUCGGAGGCACACUUGUGCCUGAUGGUCAGACGGGUUUUCACAGCGACACGCUCAACAAAGCCCCUGGUAUGAACAGCCUGGAGCAGGGCAUGGUCGGUUUGAAGAUCGGGGGUGAUGUUGCCGGCCAGGCUUCCGCGCUCAAGGCCGUGGGCUCGGUGAUCGGCGGAGCCGCCGUGGCGGCCUCAGGGAACGGAGCCACGCCCAUCGGAAUGCCCCCACCCAAACCCGCCUCUUGGGCAGCCAUUGCCAGCAAGCCUGCCAAGCCGCAGCAGCUGAAAGCUAAGGUGAAGCCGGGACUGGUCAACCCGGGGGCAACCUUUCCCCCGCCGCCCAUCAAACACAACAUGAACAUUGGCACCUGGGAAAAGGGACCCGCGACCAAAGUGGCCACGACUGCGCUGCAGCAGCAGCUGCCGCCGCCUCUUGGUCUGCCUCAUCCCAUGCCCCACCAAGCCCCCAUGCAACCUCCCCCUCCCCAGUCUCUGGUGCAGCCUCAGAUGCCGCCCAUGUCCUUACAGCACCAACCGCCCCAUCACCAGCACCACCCGCCACCCGCUCAGCCCUACCAAAACCACACACAACCCCCGCAAGCCCAAACCCGUUGGGUGGCCCCACGCAACCGCAACCAAGUCUACGGGCAGGGAGGCCCCAGCCACGACGCUAGCGGGAUGAUGGGCAUGCUCGGUAGCGCAAACUGCGGCUCUCAAACCUGUGCCACCCAGGGACCUGGUGGCGAGUCCCACCCGGUGCUAGAGAAGCUUCGUGCCUCCCACAGUUAUAACCCCAAGGACUUUGAAUGGAACCUGAAGAACGGACGCGUUUUCAUCAUUAAGAGCUACUCUGAGGACGACAUCCAUCGCUCCAUCAAGUACUCCAUCUGGUGCAGCACGGAGCACGGCAACAAGCGACUGGACUCGGCCUUCCGGGCAAUGAACGGCAAAGGGCCUGUGUACCUGCUCUUCAGUGUCAACGGCAGCGGCCAUUUUUGCGGCGUGGCCGAGAUGCGUUCGCCGGUGGACUACGGCACCAGCGCCGGCGUUUGGGCGCAGGACAAGUGGAAGGGCAAGUUUGACGUAGACUGGUUGUUUGUUAAGGACGUGCCUAAUAGCCAGCUGCGUCACAUCCGCCUGGAGAACAACGACAACAAGCCGGUGACCAACUCCCGCGACACCCAGGAGGUUCCUCUGGAGAAGGCCAAGCAGGUGCUCAAGAUCAUCGCCACCUACAAACACACCACGUCCAUCUUUGAUGACUUCUCUCACUAUGAGAAGAGGCAGGAAGAGGAGGAAGAGGUGCGUAAGGUGGGUGUACUUGUCUCAGAAUCCAACCUUUAUGUGGACGUACAGCUGUGUUCAAAAUUCUGGCAGUGUGUUUAAAAGCAUGAGGAAAGCUCAAAAUCCCUUUAAUUGUUUGAACCCACAUGUGUUGGGAACACGGGUUUUCAGGCAGAAACGUAUGGGGGAAUGUUUGCUGACUUCCUCCUAUACCCACCACACACACACACACACACACACAACAUACAACACACACACACGCUGAAGUGGACCUUAUAUGUCGCGUGUGGGGAGUAGCUGGACCCAAGAGCAGGCGGAGGCAGAUGCAAAAUGAUGAACAGUUUAUUGAGCAAAGGUUAUGGAGGUAGUCCUGGAUGUGUUAGCAGGCAGUGGCGUGGACAGGUGGCAGGCAGUGGACAGAACAGGCGGCUGGCUUGGUGGCAGGAAUGACGUGGGUCAGGAACACAGCCGUGGUACCGCUAGGAGAGGCUGCAAUACUUUGGCGAGGAUUUCCUGGUAUAGGCAGGCUUAAAUACCGGUGGUGAUGAGGCUGAUUGGAGACAGGUGCUGAAAACAGAGAGGGGAGGGGGGGGGGAGAGAGGACGGAAAGAGCUCUCCAGGCUACUAUAAUGGAACUUCAAAAUAUACAUUGUAUUUUCUUCAAAAUAUAUUGAAUCAUAAACAAUUUAAAAGCAAAUCUUGGAUUUCACUAGCGGGGGGGGGACUUAGUUUCGAACCUUUUAGCGCAGUAGUUUUGACUUUGUUUCCCAGCGUGCUUGCUUUCUUUUAAGGAUUAAAUUGUUCAGUUGCUUGUGUUGCUAUUAACUGACCUACCUGGAUGCAAACUAGUCUUUACGUUACAUGACAGUGGGACUGCAACUAACUAUUAAUAAACGAUUAAUCUGUCAAUUAUUUUUUCUUUUAAUUGAUAAUCAGAUACCAAAAAAAAAAACCAUUACAAUUUCUAUCCCUUUAUUAAAAAAACAGGACACUUCAAAUUGGCAGUGCAGAAAAUGCGGGAAAAAACUAGUUAAUUCAUUUCAUAAUCGAUUAGUUGGAGAUUAAUGGAUUUAUUGUUACUCCUCCACAUGACAGGUUACGAGCGAUAUCAAGUUGGAACCCCCCUUGCCCGCUAUAAGAUAACGACAGUUACAGUUUAUGCUGGUCUUCCCAGCAUGCCUAGCAGCACUUUUAAAAUCAUGUUAGGAAUUAAUUGCUGUUUCCAGGUAGUAAUAGUCAUUGUGUGUUAUUUCCUUUUAGUGUUACAUAUUUUGUUCGUACAGUGAGUGGGUUUGGUGUUAUUUGUAGUGAUGUUGGUUUUCAACUGUGUGUGAGUGACUGCAAUAUAGUUCUUUUGCACUGAAUCACUAAAAUAUUUACUACAUUGAAAAGAGUUUGUUCACAGGAUUUUCCAGUACUUGUUCAGUUCCUGAUUUAUUGCACUCCACUCUGCUAUUAUUUUGAACACCUGCCCGUUCAAAUAAUUAUUAAACUACACAGACAUGCAUGCAUAUGAUGAAAGCUGGAUUUGUUUUGUUUUGUUUUGUUUGUUUGUGUUUUCUGUGACUACGACACCUACCGGUAAAUUAUUUGCCAUGUCAAAACUUCUGCCCACAACGUCUUCGAUCAGACUUUUGAACCUGCUCAGAUACAGAGCCGCUCUCGCUUGGAUCAGGAGCGCCAAAACAGGAAAUAAACAAUAGAGGACGUUUAUCUUUGGCUUGAUCAAGUUACACUAGGACAUGAUUGAUUUAAGAGACAGAAGAAUAUGAAAUGCAAACAAGCCCUUCGUGUUUUCCUCUUCAAUACUGGGAAUUCUCUGCCAUUGAUGAAUUUGUCUUUGCCCCGUGUUACCUCUGCCCCACACCCAACACUUCUUUUGCAGGGAUUAAGUUGAUUUAGUGUAUAAUGAAUUACCUCCACCUACUUUAAUUAUUAUUAUUAUUAUUUUACACUUCUAAACAGCCGGUCCUCUCAGCAGACUGGUUGAGUUCUGUAUUGCACCUACUAUCUCCUCAGCUGCAUUAGGGUUUGACUGCAUCCCCGAGAAUAAAUCGGCCACUUUAUAUAUUUCAGUACAAUCAGGAAUGGCUAUGUCCUACACGUAUUUGUCCACGCGGGGGCAGCAUUGCCAAGUUGUAGAGGUCUAAUGUGCCAACAGGGUUGGAGCAUCCUCAAGGCAAUGUACUACUACUAGGAACUGUGCGACAAUAAAAUUUCAGUGAUUUAUUUUUCAUUCCGAUUGACAGAAUCUCGCUCUAUAUUUUUUUGGCAUACUACUGACAACAUUAAUUUCAGACACUUGUUUUCUGAAGCCUUAUUAUUAUUAUUUUUUUUUGUCCCCACUAAUUAUUGAUGAACUGCUAACAGUGACACUGCUGGAGAAAUCAGGGAUAGUUUGACGUCACACAAGACUAGAGACAUUUCAGAGGAGGAAUCUGGGAAAGAACUACAAACAAACAAAAAAAAAGACCUGCAAAUCAGGACCUUGCCCUUUUAAAAAAACAAAACCUCAAAUUGUACUCUCCACAUCCUUCAGCCCUGUGCCUCGUUUUCUUGGUUCUUGUUGGUGGUCUCCAAUGGCGCUGGUGUUUCUCCAGCCACUUUGAGAGAAAUGCGCCAUCCAUCGGUUUGGCUAUUUACAAUCAAAAUGAUGGAGUGAUGUCAUUGCUUUGUGUUUUGCUCCAUGAAAUUGCGGGGUAGGUCUCGCUCCGUUUGUCACCAUUCUGUCUUAAUCCUCGUUUUUUUUCUUUCUUUUUUUUUCUCUCCCCCCCCCCCCCCCCCCCCCUGAACUUAAGUUUGCUAAAUCUCUCAUGUCGACCGUAAUGCUAAGCUUUAACGUAGGAGCCUAUAUAUUCAUGGAGAAAGCCUAAAAAUGUAUAACCUAAUCAUAACUGUAACUGAUUUAGUAUCAAGUAAGGAGGGAAAAAAAUGAAAAGUGGAUUUAUGUGUGAUUUUUGGGUGGUUUAUUUGAUGCAAGAUACAAAACCAGAAUGCAGUCACCAAAAGUGUGUGCGUGCGUGUCAAACUGGAAUCUGGUGGGUGUGUUGAUCACGUGUGUAACGCAGCCAUCAAAGAAUGGAAAUUAGAAACGCCCCUGUCAAUUGUGCGUUUUGAGCGAUGUCAAAUCCAAAUCGAUUUGUGCCCGCUCACUCAUGCAAUUAUGCUGUACAUCGACUGCUCCCAAUUAUAUUUUUAUCUUAACAUGCACUCACCUCGUUCACGCCGUGUUGCUUCAUCUUACCCGGCUGGUAAAGGAAAAUGUUCGCUUUGAGGUGAUACUGAUUCUCAUGAAAAGCUUAGUCACUUUAUUCUCAUGUGGGCAUUUGUGACACCGCAACUAUUUUUAUUUUAUUUUUUUUAACCUGCCUGUUAAGUGUGGUUUCCACGGAAACUGACUUUUUGACAGCAUCUCCUUUUUCUGCAUAAUGAACACUCUUCAAGCCUUUUUUUUUUUUUUUUUUUUUCACCAUGUCUGUUCGCUCCAUUUCAGUGGUGGGGAAGGUGAGGUUGCUGUUUGUUUUGUUUUGGGGAGGGGUGCUCUCUUAAAGAUGCCAUCACCGAAGUCAUUAAAUGCUUGCGUUGCUCUAAGGACAGGAUUGACGUGCACGUUAAUGGUAAACGGCAGAGGAGUCCGUUUAGCCAUGAACGGAUGUAUCACAAAGAUUAAUGACGUAAAAUGAAAAUUCUCUUCUAGACCACAGUAGUAGUGGAAAUAUUGUUCGACAGAUGUAUCUUCUUUUUUUCUUGAUAGAAGAAAUCAAGCCUUAAUAAACUGUCCAUUCAAAAA